AGUGAACGCUGGCGGUAGGCCUAACACAUGCAAGUCGAACGGCAGCACAGGAGAGCUUGCUCUCUGGGUGGCGAGUGGCGGACGGGUGAGGAAUACAUCGGAAUCUACUUUUUCGUGGGGGAUAACGUAGGGACACUUCCGCUAAUACCGCAUACGACCUACGGGUGAAAGCAGGGGAUCUUCGGACCUUGCGUGAUUGAAUGAGCCGAUGUCUGAUUAGCUGGUUGGCGGGGUAAAGGGCCACCAAGGCGACGAUCCGUAGCUGGUCUGAGAGGAUGAUCAGCCACACUGGAACUGAGACACGGUCCAGACUCCUACGGGAGGCAGCAGUGGGGAAUAUUGGACAAUGGGCGCAAGCCUGAUCCAGCCAUACCGCGUGGGUGAAGAAGGCCUUCGGGUUGUAAAGCCCUUUUGUUGGGAAAGAAAUCCAGCUGGUUAAUACCCGGUUGGGAUGACGGUACCCAAAGAAUAAGCACCGGCUAACUUCGUGCCAGCCGCCGCGGUAA
rnacentral:rRNA from 1 species